GCCUGGGUGGCUCAGUCGGUUAAGCGUCCGACUUUGGCUCCGGUCAUGAUCUCACAGCUCAUGGGUUCGAGCCCCAUAUUGGGCU
rnacentral:tRNA from 1 species